GCUUGUCUAGAAACCCCAAGAGCACCACUCCAUAACAUGGACUGGACCUGGAGAAUCGUCUUCUUGGUGGCAGCUGUGAAAAGUGCCCAGGGCCAGGUGCAGCUGGUGCAGUCUGGGGCUGAGCUGAAGAAGCCCGGGGCCUCAGUGAAGGUCUCUUGCAAGGCUUCUGGGUACACCUUCACCAGCAACUACAUGAGCUGGGUGCGACAGAGCCCUGGACAAGGCCUAGAGUGGAUUGGGCAGAUCUACCCUGGCAAUGGCAAUACUAAUUAUGCUCAGAAGUUCCAGGGCAAGGUCACCCUCACUGCUGACAAGUCCUCCAGCACAGCCUACAUGGAGCUGAGCAGCUUGAAGUCUGAGGACACAGCCGUGUAUUACUGUGCAAGAGACACAGUGUGGUAAC